GACGAACGCUGGCGGCGUGCUUAACACAUGCAAGUCGAACGGAAAGGCCCUGCUUUUGUGGGGUGCUCGAGUGGCGAACGGGUGAGUAACACGUGAGUAACCUGCCCUUGACUUUGGGAUAACUUCAGGAAACUGGGGCUAAUACCGGAUAGGAGCUCCUGCUGCAUGGUGUGGGUUGGAAAGUUUCGGCGGUUGGGGAUGGACUCGCGGCUUAUCAGCUUGUUGGUGGGGUAGUUGCUUACCAAGGCUUUGACGGGUAGCCGGCCUGAGAGGGUGACCGGCCACAUUGGGACUGAGAUACGGCCCAGACUCCUACGGGAGGCAGCAGUGGGGAAUAUUGCACAAUGGGCGGAAGCCUGAUGCAGCAACGCCGCGUGCGGGAUGACGGCCUUCGGGUUGUAAACCGCUUUCGCCUGUGACGAAGCGUGAGUGACGGUAAUGGGUAAAGAAGCACCGGCUAACUACGUG
rnacentral:rRNA from 1 species